GAAAUGCGAUAAGUAGUGUGAAUUGCAGACUUUAGUGAAUCAUCGAAUCUUUGAACGCACAUUGCGCCCCUUGGUAUUCCAUUGGGCAUGCCUGUUCGAGCGUCAUGUACCCCCUCAAGCCCCCCGGCUUGGUGUUGGGCGUCUGUCCGCGCGCGUCGGCGACACGGCCGCGCGGACUCGCCUCAAAGGUA
rnacentral:misc_RNA from 1 species